rnacentral:rRNA from 1 species
UACGUAGGGACCAAGCGUUGUUCGGAUUUACUGGGCGUAAAGGGCGCGUAGGCGGCUUAACAAGUCACUUGUGAAAUCUCCGGGCUUAACUCGGAACGGCCAAGUGAAACUGUUAUGCUAGAGUGCAGAAGGGGCAAUCGGAAUUCUUGGUGUAGCGGUGAAAUGCGUAGAUAUCAAGAGGAACACCUGAGGUGAAGACGGGUUGCUGGGCUGACACUGACGCUGAUGCGCGAAAGCAUGGGGAGCGAACAGG